AGGGCACCACCAGGAGUGGAGCCUGCGGCUCAAUUUGACUCAACACGGGAAAACUCACCCGGCCCGGACACUGGAAGGAUUGACAGAUUGAGAGCUCUUUCUUGAUUCAGUGGGUGGUGGUGCAUGGCCGUUCUUAGUUGGUGGAGUGAUUUGUCUGGUUAAUUCCGAUAACGAACGAGACUCUAGCCUACUAAAUAGAUCGUCGGCUUACAAACGCCGGCGAGACUUCUUAGAGGGACAGGCGGUGAUUCAACCGCACGAAACAGAGCAAUAACAGGUCUGUGAUGCCCUUAGGUGUCCGGGGCCGCACGCGCGCUACACUGAAGUGAUCAGCGUGCUUUUUCAACCUACUCUGUCAAGAGUGGGGAACCCAAUGAACCUUCUUCGUGAUUGGGAUAGGGGAUUGUAAUUAUUCCCCUUGAACGAGGAAUUCCCAGUAAGCGCGAGUCAUAAGCUCGCGUUGAUUACGUCCCUGCCCUUUGUACACACCGCCCGUCGCUACUACCGAUUGAAUGUUUU
rnacentral:rRNA from 1 species